GACGAACGCUGGCGGCGUGCUUAACACAUGCAAGUCGAGCGGUAAGGCCCUUUCGGGGGUACACGAGCGGCGAACGGGUGAGUAACACGUGGGUGACCUGCCCUCAGCUCUGGGAUAAGCCUGGGAAACCGGGUCUAAUACUGGAUAUGACUCCAUGACGCAUGUUGUGGGGUGGAAAGCCUUGUGCGGCUGAGGAUGGGCCCGCGGCCUAUCAGCUUGUUGGUGGGGUGANGGCCUACCAAGGCGACGACGGGUAGCCGGUCUGAGAGGACGACCAGCCACACUGGGACUGAGACACGGCCCAGACUCCUACGGGAGGCAGCAGUGGGGAAUAUUGGACAAUGGGCGCAAGCCUGAUCCAGCGAUGCCGCGUGUGUGAAGAAGGCCU
rnacentral:rRNA from 1 species